rnacentral:misc_RNA from 1 species
GAUGAAGAACGCAGCGAAAUGCGAUAAGUAGUGUGAAUUGCAGAAUUCAGUGAAUCAUCGAAUCUUUGAACGCACAUUGCGCCCCUUGGUAUUCCAUGGGCAUGCUUGUUCGAGCGUCAUUUGUACUCUCAAGCUCUGCUUGGUGUUGGGUGUUUGUCCUUUCCCUGCGUUAGGACUCGCCUCAAAUUCAUUGGCAGCCGAUAUAUUGGUUUGAAGCGCAGCACAAUUUGCGAUUCGGGCUGGUUAUUGUUGGCGUCCAGUAAGCACAUUUAACACUUUUGACCUCGGAUCAAGUAGGGAUACCCGCUGAACUUAAGCAUAUCAAUAAGCGGAGGA